GGACAGAAAGACCCUAUGAACCUUUACUGUAACUUGGCAUUGGGACUCGGGUUAGUAUGUGUAGGAUAGGUGGGAGGCUUUGAAGCAGGAGCGCUAGCUCUUGUGGAGCCGUCCUUGAAAUACCACCCUUACUUGCUUGGGUUUCUAACCUAGCGCCAUCAUCCGGUGCAGGGACAGUGUCUGGUGGGCAGUUUGACUGGGGCGGUCGCCUCCCAAAUUGUAACGGAGGCGUUCAAAGGUUCCCUCAGGCCGAUUGGAAACCGGCCGCAGAGCGCAAGAGCAUAAGGGAGCUUAACUGCGAGACAGACAUGUCGAGCAGGUGCGAAAGCAGGAUCUAGUGAUCCGGUGGCACCACAUGGAAGGACCAUCGCUCAACGGAUAAAAGGUACUCUAGGGAUAACAGGCUGA
rnacentral:rRNA from 1 species